AGCGUACACGGUGGAUGCCCUGGCAGUCAGAGGCGAUGAAGGACGUGCUAAUCUGCGAAAAGCGUCGGUAAGGUGAUAUGAACCGUUAUAGCCGGCGAUGUCCGAAUGGGGAAACCCAGUGCAAUUCGUUGCACUAUCGUUAACUGAAUACAUAGGUUAACGAGGCGAACCGGGGGAACUGAAACAUCUAAGUACCCCGAGGAAAAGAAAUCAACCGAGAUUCCCCCAGUAGCGGCGAGCGAACGGGGAGCAGCCCAGAGUCUGAAUCAGCUUGUGUGUUAGUGGAACGGUCUGGAAAGUCCGACGGUACAGGGUGAUAGUCCCGUACACCAAAAUGCACAGGUUGUGAACUCGAAGAGUAGGGCGGGACACGUGGUAUCCUGUCUGAAUAUGGGGGGACCAUCCUCCAAGGCUAAAUACUCCUGACUGACCGAUAGUGAACCAGUACCGUGAGGGAAAGGCGAAAAGAACCCCGGCGAGGGGAGUGAAAAAGAACCUGAAACCGUGUACGUACAAGCAGUGGGAGCACCUUCGGGUGUGACUGCGUACCUUUUGUAUAAUGGGUCAGCGACUUAUAUUCUGUAGCAAGGUUAACCGUAUAGGGGAGCCGCAGGGAAACCGAGUCUUAACUGGGCGUUAAGUUGCAGGGUAUAGACCCGAAACCCGGUGAUCUAGCCAUGGGCAGGUUGAAGGUUGGGUAACACUAACUGGAGGACCGAACCGACUAAUGUUGAAAAAUUAGCGGAUGACUUGUGGCUGGGGGUGAAAGGCCAAUCAAACCGGGAGAUAGCUGGUUCUCCCCGAAAGCUAUUUAGGUAGCGCCUCGUGAACUCAUCUUCGGGGGUAGAGCACUGUUUCGGCUAGGGGGUCAUCCCGACUUACCAACCCGAUGCAAACUACGAAUACCGAAGAAUGUUAUCACGGGAGACACACGGCGGGUGCUAACGUCCGUCGUGAAGAGGGAAACAACCCAGACCGCCAGCUAAGGUCCCAAAGUCAUGGUUAAGUGGGAAACGAUGUGGGAAGGCACAGACAGCCAGGAUGUUGGCUUAGAAGCAGCCAUCAUUUAAAGAAAGCGUAAUAGCUCACUGGUCGAGUCGGCCUGCGCGGAAGAUGUAACGGGGCUAAACCAUGCACCGAAGCUGCGGCAGCGACACUAUGUGUUGUUGGGUAGGGGAGCGUUCUGUAAGCCUGCGAAGGUGUGCUGUGAGGCAUGCUGGAGGUAUCAGAAGUGCGAAUGCUGACAUAAGUAACGAUAAAGCGGGUGAAAAGCCCGCUCGCCGGAAGACCAAGGGUUCCUGUCCAACGUUAAUCGGGGCAGGGUGAGUCGACCCCUAAGGCGAGGCCGAAAGGCGUAGUCGAUGGGAAACAGGUUAAUAUUCCUGUACUUGGUGUUACUGCGAAGGGGGGACGGAGAAGGCUAUGUUAGCCGGGCGACGGUUGUCCCGGUUUAAGCAUGUAGGCUGGUUGUCCAGGCAAAUCCGGAUAAUCAAGGCUGAGGUGUGAUGACGAGGCACUACGGUGCUGAAGUAACAAAUGCCCUGCUUCCAGGAAAAGCCUCUAAGCAUCAGGUAACAUUAAAUCGUACCCCAAACCGACACAGGUGGUCAGGUAGAGAAUACCAAGGCGCUUGAGAGAACUCGGGUGAAGGAACUAGGCAAAAUGGUGCCGUAACUUCGGGAGAAGGCACGCUGGUGUGUAGGUGAAGUCCCUGCGGAUGGAGCUGAGACCAGUCGAAGAUACCAGCUGGCUGCAACUGUUUAUUAAAAACACAGCACUGUGCAAACACGAAAGUGGACGUAUACGGUGUGACGCCUGCCCGGUGCCGGAAGGUUAAUUGAUGGGGUUAUCCGUAAGGAGAAGCUCUUGAUCGAAGCCCCGGUAAACGGCGGCCGUAACUAUAACGGUCCUAAGGUAGCGAAAUUCCUUGUCGGGUAAGUUCCGACCUGCACGAAUGGCGUAAUGAUGGCCAGGCUGUCUCCACCCGAGACUCAGUGAAAUUGAACUCGCUGUGAAGAUGCAGUGUACCCGCGGCAAGACGGAAAGACCCCGUGAACCUUUACUAUAGCUUGACACUGAACAUUGAGCCUUGAUGUGUAGGAUAGGUGGGAGGCUUUGAAGCGUGGACGCCAGUCUGCGUGGAGCCAACCUUGAAAUACCACCCUUUAAUGUUUGAUGUUCUAACGUUGGCCCCUGACCGGGGUUGCGGACAGUGUCUGGUGGGUAGUUUGACUGGGGCGGUCUCCUCCCAAAGCGUAACGGAGGAGCACGAAGGUUAGCUAAUCCUGGUCGGACAUCAGGAGGUUAGUGCAAUGGCAUAAGCUAGCUUGACUGCGAGCGUGACGGCGCGAGCAGGUGCGAAAGCAGGUCAUAGUGAUCCGGUGGUUCUGAAUGGAAGGGCCAUCGCUCAACGGAUAAAAGGUACUCCGGGGAUAACAGGCUGAUACCGCCCAAGAGUUCAUAUCGACGGCGGUGUUUGGCACCUCGAUGUCGGCUCAUCACAUCCUGGGGCUGAAGUAGGUCCCAAGGGUAUGGCUGUUCGCCAUUUAAAGUGGUACGCGAGCUGGGUUUAGAACGUCGUGAGACAGUUCGGUCCCUAUCUGCCGUGGGCGCUGGAGAAUUGAGGGGGGCUGCUCCUAGUACGAGAGGACCGGAGUGGACGCAUCACUGGUGUUCGGGUUGUCAUGCCAAUGGCACUGCCCGGUAGCUAAAUGCGGAAGAGAUAAGUGCUGAAAGCAUCUAAGCACGAAACUUGCCCCGAGAUGAGUUCU
rnacentral:rRNA from 1 species